UGGCUCCGGCACCGAUGAAGAACGCAGCGAAAUGCGAUAAGUAAUGCGAAUUGCAGAAUCCAGCGAGUCAUCGAAUCUUUGAACGCACAUUGCGCCCGCCAGCACUCUGGCGGGCAUGCCUGUCCGAGCGUCGCCUCCACCCGUCAGCUACGGCUGUGUUGGGGCGUGGCCACGCUAGCCCUAAAAGAGAGAGGCGGGACCCCCGCGUGCCGAGCGUAGUACUGGGCGUCGCUCUGGCCCGGGGGGGGUCGCUGGCCCCGAGGAUACGAACGUCGACCUCGGAUCAGGUAGGAGUACCCGCUGA
rnacentral:misc_RNA from 1 species